rnacentral:rRNA from 1 species
GAUGAACGCUGGCGGCGUGCCUAAUACAUGCAAGUCGAGCGAACAGACGAGGAGCUUGCUCCUCUGAUGUUAGCGGCGGACGGGUGAGUAACACGUGGAUAACCUACCUAUAAGACUGGGAUAACUUCGGGAAACCGGAGCUAAUACCGGAUAACAUGUUGAACCGCAUGGUUCAACAGUGAAAGAAGGUCUUGCUGUCACUUAUAGAUGGAUCCGCGCCGCAUUAGCUAGUUGGUAAGGUAACGGCUUACCAAGGCAACGAUGCGUAGCCGACCUGAGAGGGUGAUCGGCCACACUGGAACUGAGACACGGUCCAGACUCCUACGGGAGGCAGCAGUAGGGAAUCUUCCGCAAUGGGCGAAAGCCUGACGGAGCAACGCCGCGUGAGUGAAGAAGGUCUUCGGAUCGUAAAACUCUGUUAUUAGGGAAGAACAAAUGUGUAAGUAACUAUGCACGUCUUGACGGUACCUAAUCAGAAAGCCACGGCUAACUACGUG